CUUUGUGUUCAUAAUAUUGUAGCCUGCCGCAUGGAUUGAGCUCGAGCCUGACUCCAGCGAGCUUUCUUUAGUUGGUUGUGCUAUAGCUUUGGAUUUGGUUUCAGAUUUUCAACUUGACAUAUUUUUGCCGCCAACCCUGUUAACGCCGUCGCCAUCCUCCGUAACACCCAUACAACAACACGCACAAUAACCUAAGUCCCCGCCUUAUCCGCCAGAGAUGAGAGAUCCACUUUCGUUUGGAAACGAGAAAAGAGGACAGAGAUAAUCAAAACAAAGGAAUGUAACCCUCGACUUAUUACAUUUUUUUUCAAGAACUAACACUGUUGCUGGAACGCACAAAACCUGUACCUUUUUAGUAGAACAUCCAUUAUUAUUCUCAGCAUCUCACCUGCAGCAGUACAUACAAAUAAAUUCCUAGCAGCAGGCAAAAAAUUAUAUGAAGCCCCUUAAAAUCUGACAAAAUGGGUUCCUGAUGUGGUUCAGGAAACCUGCUCUCUGCUCUCUCCAUAUGAAGAUUAUCCCUAUCCUAGCAAGCUGAGAUGUGAGUUGGAGACAUCCAGAUUAUCGAAGUUAAUGUUGAUGUGGCGUUCUGAGGUGCUAAUGCUCGUGUGACCACGGGAGUAAUUGCAAGAUAUACUGGAGGUAAGUUCAUGCUAGCCGCUGCUUAGAGGUAUGAGUAUUCUACUCUCUGUGUUUGCUGAAAUACUUGCUCUCGAAGA